UACGAAGGGGGCUAGCGUUGCUCGGAAUCACUGGGCGUAAAGGGUGCGUAGGCGGGUCUUUAAGUCAGGGGUGAAAUCCUGGAGCUCAACUCCAGAACUGCCUUUGAUACUGAAGAUCUUGAGUUCGGGAGAGGUGAGUGGAACUGCGAGUGUAGAGGUGAAAUUCGUAGAUAUUCGCAAGAACACCAGUGGCGAAGGCGGCUCACUGGCCCGAUACUGACGCUGAGGCA
rnacentral:rRNA from 2 species